CUUGUUUGUGGUCAUCAAAUUUAGUUAAAAUAUUUAAAAAAUUAAAAACAACAACAAAAAAAAACUAUUUACAAGUAAGAUAAAUUAUAUGAGAUCUUUAAUUUAUAUAUAAGAUAAUUUUAUUCUGUUCUAAUAUCUGUGUAAUGCUAGUUUAAAAUAUUAUUUUUUAAUAUAUUGAUUUUUUAUAUUAGGUAGGUGCCCAUUCUGUUCCUAUCUUCAGAAGUUAUUUAUACCUAUACAAUACCUUCGCUCAGGUUAAAGAAUGGAAUACUAGUCUUGCAUCAAGUGUAUGUAAAAAUCUAGCUUUUAUAUAUUAACUUGUGAUCAGAGCAACUGAUAUUUUACAUAUCCAUUCGAUGUUUAUCACCAGAAGUUAGUUCUACCUUUGCAGUACCUCUGCUCUACAUACCUCCUCGCUGGUUAAAGAAUGGAAUAUAAAUCUCAUAUCAAGUUGGUGUAAAAAUUUAGUUCAAUAAAUUAAGAAUUUGUAAA